rnacentral:rRNA from 1 species
AGUCACUGACAUUAGAUACCCGCGUAGUCCAGGGUGUAAACGCUGCAGACUUGGUGUUGGAGCCGUUUGGGGCAUUCAGUGCCGGAGAGAAGUUGUUAAGUCUGCUACGUUGGGAGUACGUCCGCAAGGAUGAAACUUAAAGGAAUUGGCGGGGGAGCACCGCAACGGGAGGAGCGUGCGGUUUAAUUGGAUUCAACACCGUAAACUCACCAGGGAAGACUGUUACAUGAAGGCCGAGAUGAAGACUCUGCUAGAUUUUCAG